UGGCUCAGAUUGAACGCUGGCGGCAGGCCUAACACAUGCAAGUCGAGCGGAUGAAGGGAGCUUGCUCCUGGAUUCAGCGGCGGACGGGUGAGUAAUGCCUAGGAAUCUGCCUGGUAGUGGGGGAUAACGUCCGGAAACGGGCGCUAAUACCGCAUACGUCCUGAGGGAGAAAGUGGGGGAUCUUCGGACCUCACGCUAUCAGAUGAGCCUAGGUCGGAUUAGCUAGUUGGUGGGGUAAAGGCCUACCAAGGCGACGAUCCGUAACUGGUCUGAGAGGAUGAUCAGUCACACUGGAACUGAGACACGGUCCAGACUCCUACGGGAGGCAGCAGUGGGGAAUAUUGGACAAUGGGCGAAAGCCUGAUCCAGCCAUGCCGCGUGUGUGAAGAAGGUCUUCGGAUUGUAAAGCACUUUAAGUUGGGAGGAAGGGCAGUAAGUUAAUACCUUGCUGUUUUGACGUUACCAACAGAAUAAGCACCGGCUAACUUCGUGCCAGCAGCCGCGGUAAUACGAAGGGUGCAAGCGUUAAUCGGAAUUACUGGGCGUAAAGCGCGCGUAGGUGGUUCAGCAAGUUGGAUGUGAAAUCCCCGGGCUCAACCUGGGAACUGCAUCCAAAACUACUGAGCUAGAGUACGGUAGAGGGUGGUGGAAUUUCCUGUGUAGCGGUGAAAUGCGUAGAUAUAGGAAGGAACACCAGUGGCGAAGGCGACCACCUGGACUGAUACUGACACUGAGGUGCGAAAGCGCGGGGAGCAAACAGGAUUAGAUACCCUGGUAGUCCACGCCGUAAACGAUGUCGACUAGCCGUUGGGAUCCUUGAGAUCUUAGUGGCGCAGCUAACGCGAUAAGUCGACCGCCUGGGGAGUACGGCCGCAAGGUUAAAACUCAAAUGAAUUGACGGGGGCCCGCACAAGCGGUGGAGCAUGUGGUUUAAUUCGAGCAACGCGAAGAACCUUACCUGGCCUUGACAUGCUGAGAACUUUCCAGAGAUGGAUUGGUGCCUUCGGGAACUCAGACACAGGUGCUGCAUGGCUGUCGUCAGCUCGUGUCNUGAGAUGUUGGGUUAAGUCCCGUAACGAGCGCAACCCUUGUCCUUAGUUACCAGCACCUCGGGUGGGCACUCUAAGGAGACUGCCGGUGACAAACCGGAGGAAGGUGGGGAUGACGUCAAGUCAUCAUGGCCCUUACGGCCAGGGCUACACACGUGCUACAAUGGUCGGUACAAAGGGUUGCCAAGCCGCGAGGUGGAGCUAAUCCCAUAAAACCGAUCGUAGUCCGGAUCGCAGUCUGCAACUCGACUGCGUGAAGUCGGAAUCGCUAGUAAUCGUGAAUCAGAAUGUCACGGUGAAUACGUUCCCGGGCCUUGUACACACCGCCCGUCACACCAUGGGAGUGGGUUGCUCCAGAGGUAGCUAGUCUAACCGCAAGGGGGACGGUUACCACGGAGUGAUUCAUGACUGGGGUGAAGUCGUAACAAGGUAGCCGUAGGGGAACCUGCG
rnacentral:rRNA from 1 species